rnacentral:rRNA from 1 species
AUUGAACGCUGGCGGCAUGCCUUACACAUGCAAGUCGAACGGUAACGGGCCUUCGGGUGCCGACGAGUGGCGAACGGGUGAGUAAUGUAUCGGAACGUACCUUUCAGUGGGGGAUAACGUAGCGAAAGUUACGCUAAUACCGCAUAUUCUGUGAGCAGGAAAGCAGGGGAUCGCAAGACCUUGCGCUGAUUGAGCGGCCGAUAUCAGAUUAGCUAGUUGGUGAGGUAAAAGGCUCACCAAGGCGACGAUCUGUAGCGGGUCUGAGAGGAUGAUCCGCCACACUGGAACUGAGACACGGUCCAGACUCCUACGGGAGGCAGCAGUGGGGAAUUUUGGACAAUGGGGGCAACCCUGAUCCAGCCAUGCCGCGUGAGUGAAGAAGG